UUUUUGCAAAUCGCUCGCCUCGUCAUUUGUGACCACAAUACCAGCAUCAAGUUUCUAAUAGACACCGGCGCAGACGUGUCAGUAAUUCCACCCUCUUCAGCCGGCAAGCGCAAAAAACAUCUGUCUACGAACUUCUAUGCUGCAAAUGGAUCGCCCAUCAAAUCGUAUGGUCAACGGCGAUUACAUCUGUCACUUGGUUUGCGCAGGAGUUUCGUGUGGAAUUUUUAUCUUGCCGACGUCAAUUGUGCAAUCAUCGGCUCAGACUUUUUAAAAACAUAUGAUCUGCUUGUUGACAUAAAGAGAGGUAAAUUAAUUGAUCGCAAAACAAUGUUAGAAAGCAAAGGAAAUUUUGUUCAGCAAAAUUCCAUUACAAUUCUAACACAUUCAAGUGAUUCAAGGUUUUCGCACAUUUUACUACUUCAGGUGUACCAGUGUUUGCUCGCACAAGACGACUGGUAGGAGAACGACUAGAAGCAACGAAGACAGAAUUUCCAAUUUUUAUGGAGAAGGGCAUUUGCAGACCUUCUAAAAGUCAAUGGACGAGUCCACUUCAUCUUGUAAAGAAAGCGAAUGGUGAGUGGAGGCCGUGUGGAGAUUAUCGGGCACUCAACGCACAGACGGUACCAGAUCGGUACCCAAUUCCAUUCAUCCACGACGUUACAAACAUUCUUCACGGUAAGCGGGUAUUCUCGGCCAGACGAAAUUCCAAAAACCGCCAUAUGAACACCUUUCGGCCUAUUCGAGUUUGUGUAUAUGACGUUUGGACUGCGGAAUGCAGCCCAAACAUUUCAGCGAUACAUUGAUGAGCUUUUGCGUGGCUUAGAUUGUACAUUUGCCUAUAUCGACGAUAUUUUGGUUGCAUUACGUAGCGAGGAGCAACACGAGCGUGACUUGCGUGAAGUAUUCGACCGUUUGCGUAAAGGAAAUCUGUCCAUCAACGCCAGCAAAUGCAAAACCGGUCAAUCCGAACUAAAAUUUUUAGGUCAUACAAUGACUGGCGACGGCCUCAGGCCUACGAAGGAAAAUGUAGAAGCCAUAUUGAAUUUCGGGAAACCAGCGAUAACGAGAGAUUUAAAAAAGUUUUUGGGAUUGAUUAAUUUCUACCGUCCAUUUUUGCCACAGGCUACAAAUCACCAGUAUGUGUUACAACAGUUGGUCAGUGAUAACAGAAAGUGCGACACAACCAGAAUUAGUUGGUCUGCUGAAGCCGAAGAGCCUUUAAAGCUUGUAAAUCUGAAAUAGCCAACGCGGCAUUAUUAUACUACUUGGCUUCAUCAAAUCGUCGAUGGCAGAGCAAACCCCCUUGGUUUUUAUUCCAAACGACUGACCGAUGCACAACGAAAUUAUAGUGCCUACGACAGAUAUCUUACUGCAGUCUAUGAAGGUGUUGAGCAUUUCAAACACAUGUUGGAUGGGCGUGAAUUUACUAUCUUUACCGACCACAAACCACUUAUUUUCGCAUUUAAGCAAAGUUGUGGAAAAGCUUCGCCGAGGAGAGUGCGGCAACUCGAUUAUAUAAGCCAGUACUCCACCGACAUCCAACAUAUUCGUGGAGCAGACAACAAUGUUGCCGAUUGGUUGUUUCGAAUCAACACGCUCACGACAAAUGAAGUUAAUUUUGAAAUAAUGGCUGCCGAGCAAGAGCACGACGAAGAGUUGAAGUCUCUUUUGGAGCCUGGUAAGAGCUCUUCGCUUAAUUUAGCUCUUCGCUAAUUUAACACAGAUAAAUUCAUGUAUUGUAAUGUCAAUGGUCAACGGGUUCGACCGUACGUUCCACCUAGUCAAAGAGAAUUGGUUCUGAGGAAGCUGCACAAUUUGUCGCACCCUUGUAUUCGUGCUACGCGACGUAUAAUAAUGGACCUGAUUGUUUGGCCGGGCAGUGCAAGAGACUUUGCAGCUUUUGUUCGGAAGUGCAUACCGUGCCAACAGGUGAAGACUGGACGUCACACCUCAGCUUCUUUUGAACAGUAUGCUGCCACAGAUAAACGAUUCCAGCAUAUAAAUAUCGACUUAAUUGGACCUCUGCCGACAUCAGCUGGUAAUCGUUGUUGCCUCACAUGCAUCGAAAGAUUUUCGAGGUGGCCUACAGCAAUUCCAAUCCCCGAUAUUUCUGCGCAUACGGUUGUAAAAGCUUUCGUUCCAGAGAAAAUCACUACAGAUCUUGAUCGGCAGUUUGAAUCGUCUCUGUUUGAACAGCUAACAAAAACGUUUGGCAUACGUCAUUUGCCCACAACGGCUUACCACCCGCAAGCGAAUGGUAUGAUUGAGAGAUGACAUCGAACACUAAAGAGUGCCAUCAAAUGCUACGCCACAAAUGAUUGGUGUUUCGUUCUUCCACUCGUUCUGCUCGGACUUCGGACAACAGUGAAGCCUGAUAUUAGUGCCAGCCCAGCCCAAAUGCUUUAUGGAACACAACUACGAUUGCCCGGCGGGUUUUUUGGACAGAGUAGACUGGAAGAGAGCCAAACUGAGUUCGUCAAGAAACCUCGGCAAGCUAUGUGUGAUUUGGCAUUCUAAUGCAAAGCCAUACAUCGAUGAUGACUUACAAAAAUGCAAAUAUGUUUUCGUCAAUACAGACCCCGUUCGGCUACCUUUCGAACCACCGUAUGAAGGCCAUUUUGAAGUUGAUCAGCGGCAUAAAAAAUACUUCGUAUAUAGAUCGGCUUAAACCAGCACGUUUUAUUCUAGAGGAAACACCAAAGGUGAGAAUACUCAACACAACUCCUCUGAGCUACUUAAAGAGCAGGGCGAUACAAAUGAGAUCGUCAAAGACCAGAACAACACCAACAACCCUCCACGGUCGGGAAGACGCGUGAAAUUUCCUAAUUUUAAUUAUUAACGUAAAAAAUAACAUGGGGUAUUGUGGCAUUUUGAAAAUAUUACAAAUAUUUCAAAUUAUACUAAACGUUAAAAUUAUCUGUGUUAGUACUCUUUGGAAUACUUAAUGCAACAGUGUAAAAUGAUAUUAUUAUAUUAUUUGUGUUAGUGCUAUAACCCACAAUUACAUUCUUCAUUGCAUAUUAACAUAAUUAUUUUAGGAAUUAAUAAAAUGGAGAUUCUAACAGUA
rnacentral:sRNA from 1 species